CCUACGUGCGGCAGCAGUGGGGAAUAUUGGACAAUGGGCGAAAGCCUGAUCCAGCCAUGCCGCGUGUGUGAAGAAGGCCUUCGGGUUGUAAAGCACUUUCAGUGGGGAAGAAAGCCUUGGGGCUAAUACCCUCGAGGAAGGACAUCACCCACAGAAGAAGCACCGGCUAACUCCGUGCCAGCAGCCGCGGUAAUACGGAGGGUGCGAGCGUUAAUCGGAAUUACUGGGCGUAAAGCGCGCGUAGGCGGUCUGAUAAGCCGGUUGUGAAAGCCCCGGGCUCAACCUGGGAACGGCAUCCGGAACUGUCAGGCUAGAGUGCAGGAGAGGAAGGUAGAAUUCCCGGUGUAGCGGUGAAAUGCGUAGAGAUCGGGAGGAAUACCAGUGGCGAAGGCGGUCUUCUGGACUGACACUGACGCUGAGGUGCGAAAGCGUGGGUAGCAAACAGGAUUAGAUACCCUGGUAGUC
rnacentral:rRNA from 1 species